GGGUUGCCAACACAAUCUUCAAUCUUCCUAUGAAGAUUAAAGCACCUUGCUCCAAGUAGAGAGCAGAUGGGAGAGGCACAGAGGUAACAAAAUUGACUGCUUAAAUAUCAACUCAUUAUUCUGUUCUCAAGCUGAGGAUUUGUAAAGCAAUGCAAGUGCUCCAACUUGGGAAAACAGAGGAGACGGAGAAGCAAAGACAACCUAGGGCCUAAAUAAGCCUGCUCUUCAGAUUCCCUACAUUUUGCGGUGACAUAGUGACAAGGGACCGCUCUAGGCAAGACUAAUAAAAUCCAGUCCCUGAGAAGAUCAGUUCGGUCCUGGCACACUUCACAUUCCAGAAGACACCUGAGGAAGCUAAAAGGAGUCAUAAGAUCAGUUCUGGCCAAAUGAAACAAAAGGAGAAGUCUUCUGAAAAUGGUUUCCUUCACUGACAAAAGGAACUCACUGCCUGUACCUCCUGCUUUUGACUACUAAUGCCAGAGCCACAGCAGCUACUUAUGAACAUGAGAUGAUAAGCACAAGAAUAAAAAGCCACUGACUGCGAAUGGGAGAACAGAAAGAAGGAAAGAGCUAGGGACUUUGAGGAUACUGUGAAAUAAUUAAAUAUCCUGAUUUCUUUAGGCCACAUUAGUGGUUUUAUGUUUGUUGCUAAA